AUACCAAUUUAUUGCGGGCAAUGGCUGCUCCGAGAAUAUGUGGCCUAAUGGCUAUCCUGUAAGAACAAACUACGGAUUUAUAUGAAUUCAGCACCCCCGGGAUAUGGUUUUCGGGUUUUCACCACAAGAGCAAAUUAUACAACUUUAUUCUUGAAAAUGUUAGAGACUGAGACUUGGAGUCAAAGUCAACAGACACGCUUGCAUGGACAUGAAGGAUGUAAAGAACUAGAGUAUUAUAACUGAAAGCAUUUUGUCUGGAUUUGUGUAUGGAAACAGAAGGAUUUAGUAUUGGUAAGUCAAGAUAGCUGUAAAAUCUCAUUUUGAACUCUAUAUGUGAGCAGUACUGU